rnacentral:lncRNA from 1 species
AUAUGAAAUUAUAACAUUAAUUCCCACCUAUGUUAAUUUUGCCAUUGACUUAUGAACUAAUUUUCAAAUUUAUUUUGAAAUUAAUCAUACCUUCUAGUUCAAGGACCUUCAUGGAUUCUGAAUGUAAAAGAAUCCCAAUGAUUUUAUCUCUUCAGAAAACAUAAAUAUAAAUUGUAUUCAAAUAUGCAUAUUACACAAAGAUGCAUUACACAUAUUGCAAGAGACAUUCACACAUAUUUUUGGUUGGUGAUUUAGCCUGAAUUUGCUAACAAUGGCAUGGUGUCUACUUUGAUUUUGUUUAGCUGGAAUAAUCAAGUAUUAGUCCAUUCUUUCACUGCUAUUAAAUACCUGAGACUGGGUAGUUUAUAGGGAAAAGAAGAUUAAUUGGCUGAAGGUUCUGCAGACUGUAUGAGAAGCAUAGUGGCUUCUGAGAAAACCUCAGGAAAGUUAGAAUCAUGGUGGUGUAGGAGGACUAGCCACAGACAAAACCACUCAGACACCGGGUUAAGAAGGAAGUGGCUUUAUUUGGCCAGGAGCAUCAGCAGACUUGCAUGUCAAGAACUGAGCUCUCUGAAGAAAGAGUUCCUGGCCCUUUUAAGAACUUACAACUCUAAGGGGUUCACGUGAAAGGGUUGUGAUAGAUUGACAUUCAGAGAUAGCAUAUGUGAUUAGAGGGGGGCUAAUCUUUAACCUCUCUCUUCAUUCCCCCAUUUGAGAACCUUACUCACUAGUGGGAGGUCUCACUCUCAUCUUCACUACCCAGGUCUUUCUGCAAGACAGAUCGACAGUGAUUCAUGUAAUACACUUGUGUAUUACAAGACAUUCAUGUAAUACAUUUGUGCUGAAGUUUUCUGAUGAACCAAGGUAGUAACAAAACUUCUUAGAAGUUGGAGAAAUAUGGGUAACAAACAAAGGAGCAAUAGGAGGGUUGCAGCUGGAGAUCUGGGGAGGAGCUGGUGUUUUUUAGUUUGAGGGUCAUGCAGCUAUAGACCCUGGGAGGAGCAGGAGUUUCUUUAGUUUGAGGGUUGGGCAGCUGCAGAACCCGGGAGAAUCUGAUGUUCUGGUUUGAGGGUCCUGCAGCUGGAGACCCAGAGAGCAGCUGGUGUUUCUUUAGUUUGAUGGCCGUGCAGCUGUAGAACCCAGGGGGAGCUGGUAUUUUUCUAGUAUGAGUGUCCUGCAGCUGGAGACCUGGAGAAGAGCUGAUGUUCUAGUUUGAGGGUCGUGCCGCUGAAGACUCAGGGAGAAGCUGAUGUUCUCGUUUGAGGAUACUGCAGCUGGAGACCUGGAGAGGAGCUGAUGUUAUUCUAGUUUGAGGAUCAUGGAGCUUGAGAUCCACAGAGGAGCAGGUAUUGUUCUAGAUUGAGGUUCAUGUAGCUGAAGACCUGGGGAGCAGCGGGUGUUUUUUAGUUUGAGGGUCAUGCAGCUGUAGAACCCGGGAGGAGCUGGUGUUUUUCUAGUAUGAGUGUCCUGCAGCUGGAGACCUGGAGAGGAGCUGAUGUUGUUCUAGUUUGAGGGUUGUGCAGCUGAAGACUUGGAGGGGAGCUGAUGUUGUUCUUGUUGAGGGUCUUUCAGCUGGAGACCCAGAGAGGAGCUGAUGUGGUUCUAGUUUAAGGGUCAUGGAGCUGGAGACCCAGAGAGGAGCUGGUGUUGUUCUGAUUUGAGGUUCAUGCAGCUGGAGACAUGGAGAGGAGCGGGUGUUUCUUUAGUUUGAGAUUCAUGCAGCUGUAGAACCGGGGAAGAGCUGGCGUUUUUCUAGUAUGAGUGUCCUACAGCUGGAGACCAGGAGAGGAGCUGAUGUUCUAGUUUGAGAGCCAUGCGACUGGAGAUGCAAAGAGGAGCUGAUUUGGUUCUAGUUUGAGGGUCAUGGAGCUGGAGACCCAGAGAGGAGCUGGUGUUUCUUUAGUUUGAGGGUCAUACAGCUGUAGAACCCAUGAGGAGCUUGCAUUUUUCUAGUGUGAGUGUCCUGCAGCUGAAGACCUGGAGAAGAGCUGAUGCUUUCAAUUGAGGGUUGUGCAGCUUAAGACUCAGGGAGGAGCUGAUGUUCUAGUUUGAGGGCCAUGAGCUUAAGACCCGGGGAUGAGCUGAUGUUGUUCUGGUUUGAGGUUCAUGCACCUGGAGACCUGAGGAGGAGCGGUUGUUUUUUAGUUUGAGGGUCGUGCAACAGUAGAACCUGGGAGGAGCUUGUGUUUUUCUAGUAUGAGUGUCCAGCAGCUAGAGACCCAGAGAGGAGCCGAUGUUCUAGGUUGAGGGUGGUGCAGCUGAAGACUCGGGAAGGAGCUAAUGUUCUAGUUUGAGGGCCGUGAUCUGGGGACUUGGAGAGGAGCUGAUGUUGUUCUAGUUUGAGGGUCAGGCAACUGAAGACCCGGGGAGGAGCUGAUGUUGUUCUAGUUUGAGUGCCCUGCAGCUGAAGACUCGGGAAGGAGCUGAUGUUGUCCUUGUUUUACGAUCUUUCAGCUGGAGACUCAAAGAGGAGCUGAUGUUGUUCUAAUUUGAGUGUAAUGGAGCUGGAGACCCGGGGUGGAGCUGAUGUUGUUCUAGUUUGAGUGUUGUGCAGCUGGAGAUCCAAGAAGGAGCCGGUGUUGGUGUUCUAGUGUGAGGGUGUGGAUCUGGAGAUCCAUGGGGGAGUGACGUUCUUCUAGUUUUUGGGUUGUGGUGCUGGAGACCCAGGGAGGAGCUCAUGGUGUUCUAGUUGAGGGUCGUGGUGCUGGAGACCCAGGGAGGAGUCGAUCCUUCUGUUGUUUAAGUCUGAAGGUCAUCGAGCUGGAGAUCCGGGGAAGAGCUGGUGCUGCGGUUCAAGUCUGAGGGUCCUGGAGCUUGAGACCCCAGGAGGAGAUGGUGCUGCCACGAAUGUCUUAGGUUGUAAAGCUGGAGACCUGCGAAGGAGCCGGUGUUGCUGUUUUAGUGUGAGGUUUGUGGAGCUGGAGUCCCAGGGGGAAAAUGGUGUUUUUCUGGCUUAAGGGUCAUGCAGCUGACCCUCAGAUGACCUCAAACUAUAACAACACUGCUCCACCCUGGAUCUCCAGCUCCAAAAUCCUCACAAUAGAAAAACAUCUGCUCCUCCCUGAGUGUCCAGCUCCACGAUGCUCAAACUAGAUUAAAAUCAGCUCCUUCCCAGGUGUCCAGCUGCAUGACCCUCAAACUAGAAACACCCGGGGAGGUUUUAUUAGUUUGCUGCUGUUUUUCUAGAUUGAGGGUCAUGCAGCUGGAGACGUGGGGAGGAGCUGAUGUUGUUCGAGUUUGAGGGUCAUGGAGCUUGGAGACCCAGGCAGGAGCUGGUGUUUUUCUAGUUUGAGGGUUGUGCAGCUGGAGACCCAGGGAGAAGCUGAUGUUGCUCUUAUUUGAGAGCUGUGGAGCUGGAGACCUGGAGAGGAGCUGAUGGUGUUCUAGUUUGAUGGUUGCAGAGCUGGAGACCCAGGGAGGAGCUGUUGUUUUUCUAGUUUGAGUUUCGUGCAGCUGAAGACCAUUGGAGGAGCUGAUGUUCUAGUUUGAGGGUUGUGCAGCUGGAGAUACAGGGAGAAGGUGGUCUUGCAGUUUAAAUGUGAGGGUCUUGGAGCUGGAAUCCAUGGGAGGAGCCAAUGCUGCCACUGAUGUCUUAGGUUGUGGAGCUGAAGACCCGCAGAGGAGCCAGUGUUGGUGUUCCAGUGUGAGGUUCGUGGAUCUGGAGACCCACGGAGGAGCAGGUGUUGGUGUUCUAGUGUGAGGGUCAUGGAUCUGGAGAUCCAUGGGGGAGUGGUGUUCUUCUAGUUUGUGGGUUGUGGUGCUGGAGACCCAGGGAGGAGCUGAUUCUUUUGUUGUUUAAGUCUGAAGGUCGUCAAGCUGGAGAUCCGGGGAAGAGCUGGUGCUGCGAUUCAAGUCUGAGGGUCCUGGAGCUUGAGACCCCAGGAGGAGAUGGUGCUGCCACUAAUGUCUUAGAUUGUAAAGCUGGAGAUCUGUGGAGGAGCUGGUGUUUCUGUUCUAGUGUAAGGUUUGUGGAUCUGGAGUCCCAGGGGUGAGCAGUGUUGUUUUAGUUUGAGGGUCAUGGAGUUAGAGACCCGGGGAGGAGCUGAUGUUGUAGUUUGAGGGUCGUGCAGCUGGAGACCCAGGGAGGAGCUGGUGUGUUUCUAGUUGGAGGGUUGUGGAGCUGGAGAUUCAC